GCAAGUCGAGGGGAAACGACAUUGAAAGCUUGCUUUUGAUGGGCGUCGACCGGCGCACGGGUGAGUAACGAGUAUCCAACCUGUCCACCACUUGGGGAUAACCUUGCGAAAGUAAGACUAAUACCCAAUGACGUCUCUAGAAGACAUCUGAAAGAGAUUAAAGAUUUAUCGGUGAUGGAUGGGGAUGCGUCUGAUUAGCUUGUUGGCGGGGUAACGGCCCACCAAGGCGACGAUCAGUAGGGGUUCUGAGAGGAAGAUC
rnacentral:rRNA from 1 species